GGANUGGGCGAAGCCUGACGCAGCGACGCCGCGUGGGGGAUGAAGCUUCUCGGAGUGUAAACCCCUUUCGACUGGGACGAAUGCCCGCAAGGGAGUGACGGUACCAGUAGAAGAAGCCCCGGCUAACUACGUGCCAGCAGCCGCGGUAAGACGUAGGGGGCCAGCGUUGUUCGGAAUUACUGGGUGUAAAGGGUUCGUAGGCGGUGUGGCAAGUCGGGAGUGAAAUCUUUGGGCUUAACCCAGAGACUGCUUCCGAAACUGCUGUGCUUGAGUGUGGGAGAGGCGCGUGGAAUUGCAGGUGUAGCGGUGAAAUGCGUAGAUAUCUGCAGGAACACCCGUGGCGAAAGCGGCGCGCUGGACCAUAACUGACGCUGAGGAACGAAAGCUAGGGGAGCAAACAGGAUUAGAUACCCUGGUAGUCCUAGCCCUAAACGAUCAGGACUUGGGGUGGCGUCCGUUCGGACGUCGUCCCGGAGCUAACGCGUUAAGUCCUGCACCUGGGGAGUACGGUCGCAAGACUGAAACUCAAAAAAAUUGACGGA
rnacentral:rRNA from 1 species